UGCGCAGGCGGCCGUGUGUGUGAGGCGUGAAAGCCCGGAGCUCAACUCCGGAAUGGCACCUCAAACUACAACGGCUAGAGCAUUGGAGAGGGUAGCAGAAUUCACGGUGUAGCAGUGAAAUGCGUAGAUAUCGUGAGGAAUACCAGAGGCGAAGGCGGCUACCUGGACAAUUGCUGACGCUCAGGCACGAAAGCGUGGGGAGCAAAAGGGAUUAGAUACCCCUGUAGUCCACGCCCUAAACGGUGCACACUAGGUCUUGGCGGAUUCGACCCCAUCAGGGCCCAAGCUAACGCGUUAAGUGUGCCGCCUGAGGACUACGGCCGCAAGGCUAAA
rnacentral:rRNA from 1 species